rnacentral:rRNA from 1 species
ACAUACGCGUAGAGUUUGAUCAUGGCUCAGAACGAACGCUGGCGGCAGGCUUAACACAUGCAAGUCGAGCGCCUCGCAAGAGGAGCGGCAGACGGGUGAGUAACACGUGGGAAUCUACCCAUCCUUACGGAACAACUCCGGGAAACUGGAGCUAAUACCGUAUACGCCCUUUUGGGGAAAGAUUUAUCGAGGAUGGAUGAGCCCGCGUUGGAUUAGCUAGUUGGUGGGGUAAAGGCCUACCAAGGCGACGAUCCAUAGCUGGUCUGAGAGGAUGAUCAGCCACAUUGGGGACUGAGACACGGCCCAAACUCCUACGGGAGGCAGCAGUGGGGAAUAUUGGACAAUGGGCGCAAGCCUGAUCCAGCCAUGCCGCGUGAGUGAUGAAGGCCCUAGGUUGUAAAGCUCUUUCACCGGAGAAGAUAAUGACGGUAUCCGGAGAAGAAGCCCCGGCUAACUUCGUGCCAGCAGCCGCGGUAAU